rnacentral:misc_RNA from 1 species
GAUGAAGAACGUAGCGAAAUGCGAUACGUAAUGUGAAUUGCAGAUCUCUCAGUGAACCAUCGAAUUUUUGAACGCACAUUGCGCCCCCUGGUAUUCCGGGGGGCAUGCCUGUCCGAGCGUCAUUGCUGCCCUCAAGCACGGCUUGUGUGUUGGGCCUCCGUCCUCCUCCCGGGGGACGGGCCCGAAAGGCAGCGGCGGCACCGCGUCCGGUCCUCGAGCGUAUGGGGCUUCGUCACCCGCUCUUGUAGGCCCGGCCGGCGCUUGCCGACACAUCAAUCUUUUUUCCAGGUUGACCUCGGAUCAGGUAGGGAUACCCGCUGAACUUAAGCAUAUCAUAAGCGGAGGA